GUGUUCACCUGAGCAGUACAUACACUAGAAUGGAAGCAACAGAGAGAUUAGUGUGGGCCCUGCAAAAGGAUGACACACAGUCAGUGAAGCAGACAAGAAGACU
ensembl:snRNA predicted gene, 26360